UACGUAGGGUGCAAGCGUUGUCCGGAAUUAUUGGGCGUAAAGAGCUCGUAGGCGGUCUGUCGCGUCGGCUGUGAAAACCCGGGGCUCAACCCCGGGCCUGCAGUCGAUACGGGCAGACUAGAGGUAUGCAGGGGAGAACGGAAUUCCUGGUGUAGCGGUGAAAUGCGCAGAUAUCAGGAGGAACACCUAUUGCGAAGGCAGCUCGCUGGGACGUAACUGACGCUGAGACGCGAAAGCGUGGGGAGCAAACAGG
rnacentral:rRNA from 1 species